UAGCCUGAAAUGAUGAGCUUGGUUCAUGUCUCUUCUCUGAGAUUUAUGCUGGAGAUACUCCGAAGGCUCUGAUCAGGCAC
rfam:Phoenicopterus ruber ruber contig112879, whole genome shotgun sequence.